rnacentral:rRNA from 1 species
CACCAGGUUGAUUCUGCCUGACGUAGAUGCUAGUCUCUAAGAUUUAGCCAUGCAUGCUUAAUAUAGAAUGGCGAACGGCUCAGUAAUGUUGCGAUGAUUUGCUCUUGAUGGCGUAGAUAACCACGGUAAGCUGUGGCUAAUAGGCAAGAAUAAGACGCAACCCUAUCAGUUAGUUGGUAGUGUAAAGGACUACCAAGACGAUGACGGGUGACGGGAAAUGAGGGUUUGAUUCCGGAGAGGGAGCCUGAGAGAUGGCUCCCACGUCCAAGGACGGCAGCAGGCGCGAAAAUUGCCCACUCUUUGGUGAGGAGGCAGUUAUGAGACGUAGGUUAAGCAGCACAGUAAACAAGUGCGUAGUUGAUUGGAGGGCAAGUUUGGUGCCAGCAGCCGCGG